UUUCAUGUUUGAAAAGUCCGUGUUUUAUGUUUUUGAACUCAGCUUCAACAGUGGCUGAACUUGCUGUGAUGCUGGUGCUUUGGAAGAGAGGGACCAUUAUUCCUGUCCAGAGUGGCAAGUAACUUGCCAGUCUUAUUAUAUGAGGAAUAAUCUCAGGGAGAAAGUGAAUAUUAUCUCUAUCCCCGUUUGCUGCAGCAAGUGACCUGCUCUCCUCACAUAUUUCUGUUACCCAGUGUCGCAGGUCUGUCUGGAUCUCAUCCACUGAAUCCACUCUCUCACUUUCCUCCGUCUGUUCAUCUGGAAUGAUGAUGGAGUCUUGAGCAAUUUGGGCUUUCAGGUAUUUCUUGCACCUUUCUGAGGGAAGAGGGGCUCCAGAACUGUCAUCACCUUCUGCCUCACUGAGGGCCACAACAGUGAUAGCACGCAGUCCCACUGGCAUAUCAUCUUGAUGCAGUGCGCAACAUCAACCCUGAUAAAACAUGGGGGGAGUUUGGCAGACUGGGUUCCAAGAAGGACAUGAAAGCAUUCAUUAAGGUAGGACUUCAGAUCAGGAUGAGGAGUGAAAGCCUUGACCAGAGCUCCCAGAAUUGCCAGAGAAAAGUCACUCACAGCUUCCUUUGGCACAGGUGCACCUGCACGAAUCCAUUCUGUCAACCAGUUUGCGAUGGCAUUAACAUCGUGUUUCUCUGACAGCAUUUGCACCACUGGGACACUGGGGCAAUUGUUUUGUUUCAGAAUACCUUGAUAAAGGAAGAUAUGCCCAGAUUUGCCAUUUGGUCUCAGCAGUUUUUUCACAACUGAACCGGUUGCAUCAAAACACACAGUUGGGGGAGAUUUUUUUGACAAUGUCUUAUAAACAUGCAUCUGUGUUUGACUCCAGUAGUGACAGAAAAACCUGUCCAGUCCAAUAUCUCGGAUGCUACCACUAGUGGCCAAAUUUGGAAGGUGGCUUGGCUCAGGAUCUCCAACAUCCAUCAGAUCUGCUGCCUUCGCUGACCUCCAUACAGCCGGUUCCAUUCUGCCCUCACACAGCUCUUUAGAGAUCUGUUCACGCAGGUUUCCAGACAUGAACCGCUUGGAGUGGCCAGUGUGCAGGGAGAGAUCUGUAUUUCUCAUGAAACACUGAAGCACCAUUGGACUAUUAAUUGCUGGCUGUCUGUCACAUGACAUUUCUAACUGGCCAUGACACUCCUUACAGUCGCCUCUGAUGUCCAGAUAAUUAUUGUUGACAGUUGGAUGGACCUUUGCUCUUCGGAACACAAGUGUACAUGUAUUUUUGAUCUUCUUCCAUAUAAGAUCGUUGAUGAUAUGAGUCCAAGUGCCAGGUUUCAAAAUUGUGUAUUCCCUUUUUUGGGCAGGAGAAAACUUGUCAUUGUAUUCAACUGUUUCAGGAAUAAAUUUAACCCAGU